CUCAGAUCAGUUUAAAGACUCCACCUGAGCCACUUGUGCUGCGUUCACUGUCCUCAGGUCAGUUUAAAGUCUCCCUGACUGGACACCGCACGAGGGCGCGGCAGAGAUCCACCUUCUAGCUAACCGCUAAUUGAACGUCCGUUUCUGUAGUACCAGUACCAGAGCCAAGCCAUGGACUCAAGCAUGGAAAACCUUUCUUCAAAGCAGAUGAUGGAGCAGAUAGCUGACCUCGCGCACAGUCAGAGUCAGCUGAAGGAGCUGACCAAGGAGAUGAAACAAUGGCUGGAUGUCGCUGACGAGGAGAUAUCAGAGCUGCGCUCACAGAACACUAGCAUGACAAAGCACAUCAAAAGACUGGAGAAGCUCCUCAGUGAAAAAGCCCACAAUGAAGCAGAGUCAAGCGGGUUACUACGAGGCGAGGACCUUGAUGCAGAUAAAAUCAAUGCGCAAAAGAUGAACAAGAUGGUGUGUAAUAAUCACAAGCUUUUCAAUUAGAAUUGAUGCUUGAAAGAAGAUAUAGAAGAAUAUCACCUGUGAUGACUUGUGUGGAGCUCUGAUUUAAAGUUGAACUUUGGUGUCCUGCAGGAGAAAGAAGCUGCCCUGAUGAUGGAGGAAACUCAGAAGCUCACUGCAGAG
rnacentral:lncRNA from 1 species